UACGUAGGGACCGAGCGUUGUCCGGAAUCAUUGGGCGUAAAGAGCGUGUAGGCGGCCUUUUAAGUCCUGCGUGAAAUCCUGCGGCUCAACCGCAGACGGUCGUGGGAAACUGGAAGGCUAGAGUGCGGGAGAGGAGAGUGGAAUUCCCGGUGUAGCGGUGAAAUUCGUAGAUAUCGAGAGGAACACCGGUGGCGAAGGCGGCCUUCUGGACAGUAACUGACGCUGAGACGCGAAAGCGUGGGGAGCAAACAGG
rnacentral:rRNA from 1 species